rnacentral:tRNA from 1 species
AGCUACGUGGCCUAAUGGAUAAGGCGUCUGACUACGGAUCAGAAGAUGAGGGUUCAAAUCCCUUCGUGGUUA